UGCAGUCGAACGGCAGCACGGGGGCAACCCUGGUGGCGAGUGGCGAACGGGUGAGUAAUACAUCGGAACGUGUCCUGUAGUGGGGGAUAGCCCGGCGAAAGCCGGAUUAAUACCGCAUACGAUCUACGGAUGAAAGCGGGGGACCUUCGGGCCUCGCGCUAGAGGGGCGGCCGAUGGCGGAUUAGCUAGUUGGUGGGGUAAAGGCCUACCAAGGCGACGAUCCGUAGCUGGUCUGAGAGGACGACCAGCCACACUGGGACUGAGACACGGCCCAGACUCCUACGGGAGGCAGCAGUGGGGAAUUUUGGACAAUGGGCGAAAGCCUGAUCCAGCAAUGCCGCGUGUGCGAAGAAGGCCUUCGGGUUGUAAAGCACUUUUGUCCGGAAAGAAAGCGUUUCCACUAAUACUGGAAGCGGAUGACGGUACCGGAAGAAUAAGCACCGGCUAACUACGUGCCAGCAGCCGCGGUAAUACGUAGGGUGCAAGCGUUAAUCGGAAUUACUGGGCGUAAAGCGUGCGCAGGCGGUUUGUUAAGACGGAUGUGAAAUCCCCGGGCUCAACCUGGGAACUGCAUUCGUGACUGGCAAGCUAGAGUAUGGCAGAGGGGGGUGGAAUUCCACGUGUAGCAGUGAAAUGCGUAGAGAUGUGGAGGAACACCGAUGGCGAAGGCAGCCCCCUGGGCCAAUACUGACGCUCAUGCACG
rnacentral:rRNA from 1 species